rnacentral:rRNA from 1 species
AUGUCUUCCUCAAGCUCCCGCGCCACCUCGCGGAUGCAGAGCCGGGCGCGUGUGGACAUGCCUGUCUUCGUCUGUCCGCGGUGCCGGGCGGGCGUUGAUCGAAGGGUUUCUCAGACACCGAGGAACAAGAAUCGUCCGUUCUAUGUGUGCAGCGAGAAUGGGGUGACAUGCUUCUUUCUUUGGGUCGAUGCUCUGGCCAAGACUCUGAUGAAUGAACUGCAAGAAGAGCAUGAAGAAUGGUUGCGCAUGCUGCCACGAACGGCAGUGGCCGCACCACGAGCUCCGAAAGAAGGGAUGAAGGGCGAAGCACGCACUGACAGAGAGCUAGCUGUUGAGCUUAGGAUGUUGAAGAAGAAGGUUAGGAAGCUUGAAGAUCAAGCACUACCAAUACCCAUUUGCAAAUACUUUUGGGCAUUUGUAGGUAUGGUAAUCGCACUGGUUGUGAUGUUGAAAAUGUAUGGAAAGGCAUGA